rnacentral:rRNA from 1 species
AGUGAACGCUGGCGGUAGGCCUAACACAUGCAAGUCGGACGGCAGCACAGUAAGAGCUUGCUCUUACGGGUGGCGAGUGGCGGACGGGUGAGGAAUACAUCGGAAUCUACUUUUUCGUGGGGGAUAAUGUAGGGAAACUUACGCUAAUACCGCAUACGACCUACGGGUGAAAGCAGGGGAUCUUCGGACCUUGCGCGAUUGAAUGAGCCGAUGUCGGAUUAGCUAGUUGGCGGGGUAAAGGCCCACCAAGGCGACGAUCCGUAGCUGGUCUGAGAGGAUGAUCAGCCACACUGGAACUGAGACACGGUCCAGACUCCUACGGGAGGCGGCAGUGGGGAAUAUUGGACAAUGGGCGCAAGCCUGAUCCAGCCAUACCGCGUGGGUGAAGAAGGCCUUCGGGUUGUAAAGCCCUUUUGUUGGGAAAGAAAAGCAGCAGGUUAAUACCCCGCUGUUCUGACGGUACCCAAAGAAUAAGCACCGGCUAACUUCGUG